CGCUCGGGGUAAACAAACAAAAUGGCGGAGUGUCUUGUAUAAUGUUUUGGUUUUAGUAGUCUCUCGUACUCCAUUUUUUCACGUUUUUGCUUUUUUUUAAUCAAAUGGUAAAUGUUAACUGUUAUGUUUCUGGUUGCGUGUCCAAUAACCGUUCGUAUCAGUAUUUAAAGUUUUACAAACUACCCAAAGACAAGGCAAGAAGACGAAGGUGGAAAAAGUUGACACGAAAUACGCGAGAAACAGAUUCACAAUGGACCUGUCUGUGUCGACUCCACUUCCAAGGUGGCUGGAAAAAAGAAUUUUAUUCUGAUCCUUCAAUAUUUCCUUGGAGUCCAGAAUGGCCUGAUGUUGUGACAAGAUACAACAACUACGUAACGGAACGUUUUUCGCUGGCCCAAGGUACAGACCAUGGAUAUGCCAAAGCUCCAAAGCUGAUGAAAGUUCCAGCAAUUUUCAAGAAGUUUGUCCGUCAUUCCAACACCUCUAAACGUGCCUUAAAAAGUCUCGAGAAAAGUGAAGAAACGUCUACCCUCCCCAACACAGAUCAGGAAUCAGAUCANACACAUUGCCCAGAUCUAGAAGAAACUCCGAUUGCCUUAUCCAAGAAUGGCGAAGUUGACUUAAGAGAUGUAACGUUUAAAGACACGUCCACAACGAUGAAGGUUGCAUAUUAUCCUGAUACCUACUUACUCACUAGGAAUGAGUUGCAAUCCUUGCUGUCCUGUAUUGAAGAAAAACUAGAUAAAGGAAGUNCAGAUGCUUCACAGCUACUAGCCCUUCUAAAGGUUGUCAUCAAGUUAUUAAGAAAUGUCCAAGAGCAGUUAGAUGCAGUGAUGGAAUUGCGGGAAUGGGAUAAGUUUCUACUCAGGCGCUUUGAGGGUUCUGAUGAGGAUAUUAAGUUUUGGACAGGAUUCCCAAGUUUUUCCAGCCUAAUUUACUUCUUUAAUGGUUUCAUACUCCCUAAUGAGUCCCAUAUGAAGUACUGGGGUGCAAAUAAUACUGGUUUGAAAAGGGAAUUCAAGGCAGGCACAGUUCGACAGCUUUCUGCUGUAGAUGAAUUAUUUCUCACACUCAUCAAGUUGAAGCGAGCUAGUGCAAAUGAAGACCUGGCAGAAAGAUAGACAUGUUUCAAGUAGACAUGUUUCAUCCAUUGUCAUAACAUGGGUUAACCUUAUGGCAGCUGUUUUCCGGAAAACAGACACUUGGCUUAGUAGGAAAAAAGAGUGACAACAUUUGUAUCUCCCUUGAUGGAAGGAAGUGUCAGUGACAAUGACAUAACUGUUCAAAGUGGUUUGCUUGCCAAACUUCAGAAAGGGGAUGCAAUCAUGGCAGACAGAGGCUGGACAAACAAGUCAACACUUCUCAAGCAUGGGAUUA
rnacentral:misc_RNA from 1 species